ensembl:lncRNA
GUGCAGAAAAUCGCUCAAGACACUUCCCCCGACUCAUCCAUCGGACUUCGGUGUGCAUUUGUAAAUCCACACCCUAAGUCACCAAGUCCGUAACAUGGUUAAAGUUCAGUGUCUUGGCGCAGAGGGCCUCCUGUAGGAAUAAAUAAAGUAACCCUUAAAAUGUCCCUAUGUUUGUCCUGCAUGUCACCCAAAAUCAAUAGGACUACUCCCUCCCCUGGUGUAUGAUACAGGGCAUUAUAGGGCAGUUCACUCCGCUUUGUUGAAGCAGCCCUGCGAAUCCGGUGCGUCUCCCCUGCAUCGCUGGUGCGCCGUCCGUAACAACAGCCGAUAGUUUGUCCAAGCCACGUUAAUGCAACACUACUAACGGCGUUGAAUAUAUCCUUGGUGGUAUCGUGCAAAGACACCAUCUUUAGUAACUCCUCGUGCACUUCAACCGAACGGUCAACGGUUCUUGUGAAAAUCAGCAGCUGGCUGACGUCCAUCACAUCUGUACUUUCAUCCAAGGCCAGGGAGAAGUACUUGCAGUCAUGCAUAACCUGUUUCAUCUUCCCCUCGACAUGAUCAUUAAUGUCAAAAAUUCUACGAGUCACUGUGCGACGAGACAAAGAGACCGUAUCAACAUUUUAACCAGGUUAGCGUCACCAAACGCUCUGGCCGCUUCCACGGCACAUCUCUUCACAAUCUCGCCAUCGGACAAGGGCUUCUUUGCUUUAGCGCGCGCAAGCGCAACAGCAUUCGGCGCCGUGAGUGCAGCCUCCUGUGUGGUUGUGGCUCUGGUAAAAGAAAAUUCUGUUGUUUGUGUACUUUUGAUUUGAGGUCGGCAAUGAGAGCAGCCCUGGCAGCUUCAGUAUACUUCUCGUAUUUAACCUUGUGCAAGGUGUUGUAGUGGCGACUUAGGUUGAAAUCUUUCAUGGCUGAUAACGUCUCCAAGCAAACUAGGCACAUGGGUUUGCCUUUAAAUUCAGUGAACAGAUGAUCCACUUCCCAUUUCACCUGAAAGACACAAUUUUCUUGAUCGAGUUUUCUCUUUCUGCGUCUGCAUAGCAAGCGCCAUCUAGCGGUGGACUCUGAUAUUACAACUAAAAAGUGAUCGGGCGCUGUAGAGGACACACUUAUAAUUUUCAGAAAUGAAUCCAGGGGCCACUCCGAAUGAGCGCGAGGGCCGCCAGUUGCCCAUCCCUGUUCCAAGUGACUGUGAGAUGGUAAGUUGGAUGUUUCUUUUAAAGCAGCAGCAAUAAAUGCUCUGAAUCCCUGAUGUUCGGCUCAGCGCAGCCGAGGAGACGAGUUGGGAGAGACAAGUUGAGAAUGCAGCUUAGUUGUGUGGAGCAUCACAUGUGGAGGAGACAGAACUACAUUCCAGAUGUUCUAUGAUGAUGACGGCUCAAUUGUUUUCACCUUGUUCUCCCGUCCUAAAGGGGCCAAAAAAACAGACUCAAAAACAGACACAAAAACAACAAAUGAUCAUAACACAAUGAAAAGAUAUGUAAAUCCAUAUGAAAUACUCUGAGUGUUUUAUUUCUUAUCUACAUUGAGAAUUGUAUUGCUCGUGUGUGUCUCACAUUGCAUAUUGAAAUGGUCCAUCAAUCGUUGGCUUCUAAUCACACAGCUUUGUAAACUCUCUGGAGGCUCUCCAAUGAGGAGGAGGGACUGAAUGAAUGAAGAAACAAUG